UCAGUAGCUCAGUGGUAGAAUGACCGGCUGUUAACCGAUUGGUCAUAGGUUCAAAUCCUAUUUGA
rnacentral:tRNA from 1 species